rnacentral:lncRNA from 9 species
CCUUGGUUUUCAUCCCUCGAUAUGAAGUUUAGCGCUGCAAUGUAUCACUUUGUUCCUUGCUUGUAUUGGGGGAGACACGUUUAAUAUUCAGAAGAAGAAUGAAGCCAAUUGCAAGUAGCUUCUGGAAAUGGAGGAAUGGCAGAAAUCAGGACUACUCCCUUCCCAAGCCCAGCCUCUGGAACACAAGCCACCUGGCACUGGUCCUUCUGGAUGGGAUCCAGGGAGCUCUGUUCUUCCGUUCAACAAAUAUAAAUGCCAACGACAUUCAGGACAGUUUGCUGAAUUCCAAAAUCUACAGUCAGGGUUCCUAUGCUCAAGAUACCUAACAUUCACCUUGGUGUUUGAAGAUUCCCCAAGAUGUGGGUUUGGGAAAUAGACGAAAGAAGAGGCGCACGAUCCCUGCGAUGGACCCAAACCAAAACCAAAUUAAUGAAACUUGAUCUGUAGAUGUGGGAUCUUUGUCUUUUAAUAUGUGAGCCUGUCCGAACACGUGUAAAUGAGGAUUAACAUGGAAUCAGAAGAAAACUUGGGAGUUCUCUAAUCGCCUAGUGGGUAAAGGCUCCUGCCUUUUCACUGCUGUGGCUCUGAUUGCUCCUGUGGCACAGGUUUGAGCCCUGGCCCAGAAACCUCCACAUGCUGUGGGUUCAGCAGAAGAGAAAAAUAAAUAAGAGCAAACCUGAACUUUGCAAUUCUCAUUAAAAAAAAAAA